rnacentral:rRNA from 1 species
CGUGAUACGAGACGCUACGGCGUUGAAGCAGUGUAUGUCAGACUUCCAAGAAAAGCUCGCAAUGUCAUAAACAAAUAAUGCCUGUACCAUAACCGACACAGGUGGGUAGGUAGAGUAUACUAAGGGGCGCGAGAUAACUCUCUCUAAGGAACUCGGCAAAAUGACUCCGUAACUUCGGGAGAAGGAGUGCCUUAUUUUUAUAAGGUUGCAAUAACAAGAUCCAAGCAACUGUUUACCAAAAACACAGGUCUCCGCUAAGUCGUAAGACGAUGUAUGGGGGCUGACGCCUGCCCAGUGCCAGAAGGUUAAAGAAGUUGGUUAGCAAUAGCGAAGCUGAUAACUGAAGCCCUGGUGAACGGCGGCCGUAACUAUAACGGUCCUAAGGUAGCGAAAUUCCUUGUCGGGUAAGUUCCGACCCGCACGAAAGGCGUAAUGACUUGGAUGCUGUCUCGGAGAGGGGCUCGGUGAAAUAGACUUGUCUGUGAAGAUGCGGACUACCUGCACCAGGACAGAAAGACCCUAUGAAGCUUUACUGUAACUUGAAAUUGAAAUUGGACUUUACUUGCGCAGUAUAGGUGGGAGGCGUUGAUUUUAUUCUUGCGGGAAUUUAGGAGCCAUCAGUGAGAUACCACUCUGGUAAUGUUAGAUUUCUAACUUUGUAUCAUAAUCUGGUCAAAGAACAGUUUCAGGCGGGCAGUUUGACUGGGGCGGUCGCCUCCCAAACGGUAACGGAGGCGUACAAAGGUUUCCUCUGAACGUGUAGAAAUCGUAUCUAGAGUGUAAAGGCAUAAGGAAGCUUGACUGUGAGACCUACAAGUCGAGCAGGGACGAAAGUCGGUCUUAGUGAUCUGACGGUGCUGAGUGGAAAGGCCGUCACUCAACGGAUAAAAGUUACUCUAGGAUAACAGGCUGAUCUCCCCCAAGAGUUCACAUCGACGGGGAGGUUUGGCACCUCGAUGUCGGCUCAUCGCAUCCUGGGGCGGUAGUACGUCCCAAGGGUUGGGCUGUUCGCCCAUGAAAGCGGUACGCGAGCUGGGUUCAGAACGUCGUGAGACAGUUCGGUCCAUAUCCGGUGUAGGCGUUAGAAUAUUGAGAGGAUCCUUCUUUAGUACGAGAGGACCGAGAAGGACAUACCUCUGGUGUACCAGUUAUCGUGCCAACGGUAAACGCUGGGUAGCUAUGUAUGGAAAGGAUAACCGCUGAAAGCAUCUAAGUGGGAAGCCUACCUCAAGAUAAGUAUUCUCAUC